rnacentral:rRNA from 1 species
UACGGAGGAUCCGAGCGUUAUCCGGAUUUAUUGGGUUUAAAGGGUGCGCAGGCGGACUGGUAAGUCAGAUGUGAAAGUUUACGGCUCAACCGUGUAAUUGCAGUUGAAACUGUUGGUCUUGAGUAUACAUGAGGUGGGUGGAAUUCCUGGUGUAGCGGUGAAAUGCUUAGAUAUAAGGAAGAACUCCAAUUGCGAAGGCAGCUCACUGGGCUAUAACUGACGCUGAUGCACGAAGGUGUGGGUAUCAAACAGG